GUGGGGAAUAUUGCGCAAUGGGGGAAACCCUGACGCAGCGACGCCGAGUGAGGGAAGAAGGCUUUCGGGUCGUAAACCUCUGUCAGAAAGGAAGAACCUCCCAAGUCCGAAUAGGGCUUGGGACUGACGGUACUUUCAAAGGAAGCACCGGCUAACUCCGUGCCAGCAGCCGCGGUAAUACGGAGGGUGCAAGCGUUAAUCGGAAUCACUGGGCGUAAAGCGCGCGUAGGCCGCUUUGUAAGUCGGACGUGAAAGCCCUCGGCUCAACCGGGGAACUGCGUUCGAUACUGCGAGGCUUGAGUCCUGGAGAGGGUGGCGGAAUUCCGGGUGUAGGAGUGAAAUCCGUAGAUAUCCGGAGGAACACCGGUGGCGAAGGCGGCCACCUGGACAGGUACUGACGCUGAGGCGCGAAAGCGUGGGGAGCAAACAGGAUUAGAAACCCUGGUAGUCC
rnacentral:rRNA from 1 species